GAAUAACUUCGGGAAACCGAAGCUAAUACCGGAUAUGACACAGAGCCGCAUGGUUUCUGUGUGGAAAGUUUUUCGGUUGGGGAUGGACUCGCGGCCUAUCAGCUUGUUGGUGAGGUAAUGGCUCACCAAGGCGACGACGGGUAGCCGGCCUGAGAGGGCGACCGGCCACACUGGGACUGAGACACGGCCCAGACUCCUACGGGAGGCAGCAGUGGGGAAUAUUGCACAAUGGGCGAAAGCCUGAUGCAGCGACGCCGCGUGAGGGAUGAAGGCCUUCGGGUUGUAAACCUCUUUCAGUAGGGAAGAAGCGCAAGUGACGGUACCUACAGAAGAAGCACCGGCUAACUACGUGCCAGCAGCCGCGGUAAUACGUAGGGUGCGAGCGUUGUCCGGAAUUAUUGGGCGUAAAGAGCUUGUAGGCGGUUUGUCGCGUCUGCCGUGAAAAUCCGGGGCUCAACUCCGGACUUGCGGUGGGUACGGGCAGACUAGAGUGUGGUAGGGGAGACUGGAAUUCCUGGUGUAGCGGUGAAAUGCGCAGA
rnacentral:rRNA from 1 species